CCAAUAGCGUAUAUUAAAGUUGUUGCGGUUAAAAAGCUCGUAGUUGAAUUUCGGGAUUGGCGCAUCGGUCGUGCCUCACGGGGUAUGAACUGGUGCAGUCAAUUUCUCACCUUCUGGAGAACCGCGAUGUCCUUAAUUGGAUGCCGCGGGGAACCAGGACCUUUACUUUGAAAAAAUUAGAGUGUUUAAAGCAGGCAUUUUUGCUUGAAUACAUUAGCAUGGAAUAAUAAAAUAGGACGGCAUGGUUCUAUUUUGUUGGUUUCUAGGACCACCGUAAUGAUUAAUAGGGAUAGUUGGGGGCAUUAGUAUUCAAUUGUCAGAGGUGAAAUUCUUGGAUUUAUUGAAGACUAACUACUGCGAAAGCAUUUGCCAAGGAUGUUUUCAUUAAUCAAGAACGAAAGUUAGGGGAUCGAAGACGAUCAGAUACCGUCGUAGUCUUAACCAUAAACUAUGCCGACUAGGAAUCAGACGAUGUUAAUUUUUUAAUGACUCGUUUGGCACCUUACG
rnacentral:rRNA from 1 species